rnacentral:lncRNA from 1 species
UUCUCACCAUUUGCGAGUUAUUGUUGUUGGAGUGAAUUCAUACAUUGUACUGGGCUGACCUAGAGACUCGAUCAUCACACGAAGGUUCGACUUUAAAUGUACUUGUUUAGGAUGGAAGAAGCAACAAUACCACGAUUCCUCCUCUUCUAGCCAUCUCCAGCAUCGGCUAUCGUUACCCCAAACAACCCUUAAGCCCUUACUGAGAACCGUUAAGCAGCUCUUGUUUAGGUCCUUGUCAACCCCAUACUUGUGUGUAUAUGGCUGUUCCUGUAAGCACAGAGCAGUGAUCAGUAAUUGAGACAUUAACAAAACCGGAACAAAACUCAGGCUUUCGUCCAAUCAGGCGCUACUGAGCUCCCAUCCGGUCCGUGAUGACCUAUUCAUAGAUGCACUUGUCAUCUGCAAGCGGUCUUGAUUUGCAGACUUUUCCUGCAUAUCAUGCAGUUUUAGUUUCAUUGCAGGCAUCACUGGCCGAGCCAAAUUUUUUCUUGAUAGAUCACUAUCUAUUGGCACAAAACAAGUUCUUUUUUGUCCUUCGUAACUUGCCUGAUCCUCGCCUUUUUCUGCCUUGCCCUGCUUCUUGUCGUCCUUCAAAAGCACUCCUGCACAGACUCGACGUCUCAGCUCGUGUCUGUCAAGGGAGGCGAUUUUGUCGCUGCUCGCACUUCUCCUCCUUGUUCUGCUCGCGCUGAUUGGGGGGCAUUUUCUUCAUUUGUUGAUGAUGGCGAAUCAG